AGUGAACGCUGGCGGUAGGCCUAACACAUGCAAGUCGAACGGCAGCACAGUAAGAGCUUGCUCUUACGGGUGGCGAGUGGCGGACGGGUGAGGAAUACAUCGGAAUCUACUUUUUCGUGGGGGAUAACGUAGGGAAACUUACGCUAAUACCGCAUACGACCUACGGGUGAAAGCAGGGGAUCUUCGGACCUUGCGCGAUUGAAUGAGCCGAUGUCGGAUUAGCUAGUUGGCGGGGUAAAGGCCCACCAAGGCGACGAUCCGUAGCUGAUCUGAGAGGAUGAUCAGCAAAACUGGAACUGAGACACGGACAAGACUCCUACGGGAGGAAGCAGUGGGGAAUAUUGGACAAUGGGCGAAAGCAUGAUCCAGCAAUACCGCGUGGGUGAAGAAGGACUUCGGGUUGUAAAGCCCUUUUGUUGGGAAAGAAAAGCAGCAGGUUAAUACCCCGCUGUUCUGACGGUACCAAAAGAAUAAGCACCGGCUAACUUCGUG
rnacentral:rRNA from 1 species